rnacentral:rRNA from 1 species
UACGAAGGGGGCUAGCGUUGUUCGGAUUUACUGGGCGUAAAGCGCACGUAGGCGGGUCGUUAAGUCAGGGGUGAAAUCCCGGAGCUCAACUCCGGAACUGCCUUUGAUACUGGCGACCUUGAGGCUGGAAGAGGUUAGUGGAAUUCCCAGUGUAGAGGUGAAAUUCGUAGAUAUUGGGAAGAACACCAGUGGCGAAGGCGGCUAACUGGUCCAGAUCUGACGCUGAGGUGCGAAAGCGUGGGGAGCAAACAGGG